rnacentral:rRNA from 1 species
CCUACGGGCGGCAGCAGUGGGGGAUAUUGCACAAUGGGGGAAACCCUGAUGCAGCGACGCCGCGUGAGUGAAGAAGUAUUUCGGUAUGUAAAGCCCUAUCAGCAGGGAAGAAAAUGACAGUACCUGACCAAGAAGCCCCGGCUAACUACGUGCCAGCAGCCGCGGUAAUACGUAGGGGGCAAGCGUUAUCCGGAUUUACUGGGUGUAAAGGGGGCGUAGACGGUUAUGUAAGUCUGGAGUGAAAGCCCGGGGCCCAACCCCGGGACUGCUUUUGAAACUGGGUAACUGGAGUACAGGAGGGGCAGGCGGAAUUCCUGGUGUAGCGGUGAAAUGCGUAGAUAUCAGGAAGAACACCGGCGGCGAAGGCGGUCUGCUGGACUGAAACUGACGUUGAGGCUCGAAAGCGUGGGGAGCAAACAGGAUUAGAUACCCCAGUAGUC